ensembl:lncRNA
GCAAAGGAAAGUGGUUUUUCUAACAAACUCAUGUAAUCAAUUGCCCGACGUACUCCAAUUUGAUUUUUUUCACAUAGUUAGACAUAAUAUAGUACUAUGAAAUGUUUCUGACCUAAAAUAAUACGAAAUAUGAUUGUUUACAUUAAAAUGUAAAACUUGAUGAUAAAGUAUGAUAAGUUGAAAAAAGUGACAUUUGAAGGUCAGAAAGUCACUUUUCAUCAAAAGUACCAUAACAAAACUUGUUUCCAUUCAUCCUGUGUGUCCAUGCACACUUGUGCUCUUUAUCCGCUCAAAACGCUAUACAGCGAACGAGAAGGCGCUAGGAGCAAAGGAAAGUGGUUUUUCUAACAAACUCAUGUAAUCAGUUGCCCGACGUACUCCAAUUUGAUUUUUUUCACAUAGUUAGACAUAAUAUAGUACUAUGAAAUGUUUCUGACCCUAAAAUAAUACGAAAUAUGAUUGUUUACAUUAAAAUGUAAAACUUGAUGAUAAAGUAUGAUAAGUUGAAAAAAGUGACAUUUUAUGUCUAGAAAGUCAGUUUUCAUCAAAAGUACCAUAACAAAACUUAGUUCGCAUUCAUCCUGUGUCUCCUUACACACUUGUGCUCUUUAUCCGCUCAAAACGCUAUAGAGCGAACGAGAAGGCGCUAGGAGCAAAGGAAAGUGGUUUUUCUAACAAACUCA